ACCCGGCUGAGCGCCCACAGAACAGACCCAGCUGAGCGCCCACAGAACAGACCCGGCUGAGUGCUCACAGAACAGACAGAAUAGGGCAGAACGAGACAGAAUCAGACAGACGCCGGCCGGCUUACCUCCCAGUGGGUGGUCGGUGGUCCCUGGGUGGAGGAUCUCCUUUCCCGGCCAACGCACCAAAUGAAAAGCUCUCAGGGAGAACUUUCCCUCGGGAUGGAGACCCUCCAACUCUAAUGACCAGACCGAGACACCACAGGAUGCAAUCAGCAAGAGGAUUUGGUUUAUUGUCGGGAUACACAGGCACAGGCACCUGUGGGCGCUUCAGUCACUCGGGGGACUGGCGCGCCCCACGGAACCAAGGAUGGGCUUUUUAUAGGAUUUUGGGGAGCAGAAGCAAGCAUACAGAAGCAGAUGCAUGGUUACAGGGAUAUAAUUGGUGGAUUCUAAUGUGGCAAGGGUUCAGCCCGGGGGCAAGUUUCCUAGCUACCUUCCUGAAACAUAACGACUGACUCGGCCCCCCAAGGGUUCAGCCUGGGGGCAAGUUUCCUAGCUACCUUUCUGGAACAUAAGGCUGACUCGGCCCCCCAAGGGUUCAGCCCCGGGGCAAGUUUCCUAGCUACCUUCUUGGAACAUAAUGGCUGACUCAGCCCCCCACCAGGGUGUGGGACCUCUCCCGGGGCUUUUCUCAUUGUCAGGUGCUCAACCGCAGUCGUCCUGUUGCCAGGCCUUCAACCAAACACAUCCUGCUUGGCAGCCGCUUUGUACUCAGUGUUUUAACCUUUCUCUGAACCAGUCAUCUUAAGUACAGCCUUGCAAAAUGGCGUUACUGCUGCUAAGCUGGGGUCUUUCAAACCCAAGACAGAAAGCAGAAAUGGGAUGGCAUGCCCUCCCGAUGUUGUACUUAAGGCAGGUACAGGGAAGCCCAGAUUUUCACUUGGAUGCAAAGAAUUCGAACUCACCUCUUCAAAAUUAGGAAUUAAACACUUUACCCAUUGAACCACACUCACAGUUGCGCUGCACGGUUUGACAUCAACUUGACACAGACUAGAGUCAUUUGCAGACCAAUGUAACCUCUGUGGCCUUUUCUUGAUUGAUGAUUGAUGUGAGGACCCAACUCACUGUGGAGGGAAUCAUCCCUAGGCAGGAAGUCCUGGAAUCUGGAAGUCCUGGAAGAAGUAGGCUGAGCAAGUCAUUAGGAGCAAAGAGAUAAGCAGUAUUCUAUUCCUUCAUGGUCUCUGAAUUGGCUCCUGUAUCCAGGUUCCUGCUUUGAAUUUCUGACCUGACUUCCCUCAGUAAUGAACUGUGGUAUUGAACUGUAAAACAAGCCUUGUCCCCACCAAGUUGCUUUUGGUUCUUGUGUUUUAUCACAGCAAUAGAAACCUUGACUAGGAUAUCUUACCUACUGAAACUUACCUAGUUUUGCUUUGCUUUGUUUUUUAACGAAUUAUUUGUUACAGUUCAGUAAAUAAUUUAACAACUGUCCCCAUACUGAGUAAGCCCUGAUGUAAGGAUCUGUUUCUAGUUUGAUUGUAACUUAUUACAUCACACUGUGUUGAUACCUCUGGGGUGGAGGAUGGGGCAGCACUGCUUUUUUUGAAGGGAAAUGAAGAGGAAUGGAUCAUCUAUCAGAGAAGGGAGGUUGAGGAGAUGGACUGUGAAGAGUGGAGGGAGGGAACACUGUUG
ensembl:lncRNA